UUUUCUUACAGAAAACACCCUCGCAAUCGCGCCGUAUCGUGCAACCCUUCCCCGCUCCGUCUCCUCCCUCCCUCCCAACUCGCUCGGGCGCGGCGGCCGGCGCUCUCGACGCCCAGGGCUCGCUCGCUCCUUCUCGCCGAUCGCCUCCCGGGGAGAAAAGCGGGCUGAUAUCCCGUGCUGAUUUCGAGUUUGUGGCCAUGGGGGCUGCCGGCGACGCGAGGGAUGCGGCUGUGGACGAGAUGGAGGUGGACGGUGGUGAGCGACACCGGGACAAGGAGAGGAGGGAGAGGCACAGGAGGGAGGAGAAGGAUCAUCAUGGUAGUGGCAGAAGGGACAGGGAUAGAGAGAAGGAUAAGGACGAUAGGAGGAGGGAGAAGGAUGAUAGCAAGCAUAGGGAUAGAGAAAGGGAUAGGGAUAAGGAUAAGGAUAGGGAGAGAGACAGGGAUAAGGAUAGCAAGCACAGGGAUAGGGAUAAGGAGCCAGAGCGCGACCGCGGUCGUGACCGAGGCAAGGACCGGGAGAGAGAACCGGAGCGGCUGAGGGAUAGAGACCGAGGCAAAGAUCGUGAGAGGGAUCCAGAGCGGGAGCGAGAUAAGGAAAGGGAACGAAGGGACAGGGACAAGGAGAGGAGCCGCAACAGAGACAAGGACAAGGAUAGGGUGGAGAGAGGAGAGAGGGAGGAUCGGGAGCGUGAGAAAUCGAGGGGGAAGGGAAGCGGAGAAGAUGCUGCCGAUCUGUCGAAGGGCAACGAGGAGGAUCAGAAGCAGAGAGUUGAUGCCUCAGGGGAGGCUGAGCAGCCGUCAACAGCUGAGCUCAGAGAGCGCAUUGUGAGGGCGAAGGAAGAAAGGCUGAAGGAUAAAAAGGAAGGAGGAGUACUGGAUGGUAAUGAUGAGGCUUCUGAGAUAUUGUCAUGGGUGGGAAAGAGCCGUAAACUUGAUGAAAAAAGGCAAGCUGAAAACGAGAAAGCAUUACGUCUUGCACGAGCAUUUGAGGAACAGGAUAACAUCUUAGCAGAAAAUGGCGAUGAUGACGACGAGGAAGAGGAAGAUAAACAUGGUGGAGACCAUUUAUCUGGCGUUAAGGUUCUUCAUGGCCUUGAUAAGGUGUUGGAAGGUGGUGCAGUUGUCAUGACUCUCAAAGAUCAGAGUAUCCUUGCCGAUGGGGAUAUCAAUGAAGAGGCUGAUAUGCUUGAGAACAUUGAGAUUGGCGAGCAGAAACAAAGAGACGAAGCUUAUAAGGCUGCAAAGAAGAAAGAAACAUAUGAUGACAAGUUCAAUGAGGACUCAUUGUCAAAGAAACCCAUGCUCUCACAUUAUGAUGACCCAAUGGACGAUGAGGGAGUGACACUUGAUGAAGGUGGACGCUUCACCGGUGAAGCAGAAAGGAAGCUAGAAGAGCUCCGGAAAAGAAUUGAAGGUGGUUACGUCCAGAAAAAGACAGAAGACCUUACAUCCACAACAAAGAUGUCAACAGACUAUUUUACCCCUGAUGAAAUGGUUCAAUUUAAAAAACCAAAGAAAAAGAAGUCCCUUAGAAAGAAAGAGAAACUGGAUCUGGAUGUGCUUGAAGCAGAAGCAAUUGCUGCUGGAUUGGGGGCAGCUGAUCUUGGGUCCAGGAAUGAUGCAAAGAGACAGUCUGCUAGGGAGGAAGAGCAAAAGGCUGAUGCUGAAAAGAGAAGCAGUGCAUAUCAAGCUGCCAUUGCAAAGGCUGAAGAGGCAUCGAAAGCAUUGCGUCAGGAGAAAACUAAGCCUGGCAAAACACCUGAAGAAGAACUCGUUUUUGGUGAGGACUAUGAAGAUCUGCAGAAAUCUCUGGAGCAAGCAAGGAAGUUAGCUCUAAGGAAGCAGGAAGAGGCUGCCGCUUCUGGCCCUCUGGCUGUAGCUGAUCUGGCUACUGCAACCAAGGGCCGAGAAAAUGCAGAUGCCGCUGAAGGAGAUGCUCAAGAGAAUAAGGUUAUUAUCACAGAGAUGGAAGAGUUUGUGUGGGGCCUACAAUUGAAUGAAGAAUCACGGAGGCCAGAAGCAAAUGAUGUGUUUAUGGAUGAAGAUGAUGAUGCAAUGCCUUCAGAUAAUGUUGCAAAAGAUGACACAAAUGGGUUGGUAGCGAUGAAAGAGGAAGCGCACAUUCAAAGCCCAGGAAAAAUUGGCGAGGAAGAAGCCAGACCUGAUGAGGUUAUACAUGAAGUCGCGGUCGGUAAGGGUUUAUCUGGUGCUUUGAAGCUUCUUAAGGAGCGAGGAACCCUCAAUGAGGGCACGGAUUGGGGAGGCAGAACUACAGACAAGAAAAAGAGCAAGCUUGUUGGUAUUGAGGAUGGACCUAAAGAAAUUCGCAUCGAAAGAAUGGAUGAAUUUGGUCGAGUGAUGACACCUAAGGAGGCAUUUCGGGAUCUUUCACACAAAUUCCAUGGCAAGGGGCCAGGAAAAAUGAAACAAGAAAAACGCCAGAAGAAAUUCCAGGAUGAGUUGAAAACCAAGCGAAUGAAAUCUUCUGACACACCUUUAAUGGCCGCGGAAAAGAUGAGAGAGGCUCAAGCUCGUAGCCAAACACCAUACCUUAUUUUAAGUGGCAAUGCAAAAACAAGUCAAGCAAGUGACGCUAGUGGCUUUGCUACCAUGGAGAAAGAGCAUCCUGGGAGCCUGACGCCCAUGCUUGGGGACAAAAAAGUGGAACACUUUCUGGGCAUCAAACGAAGUGCCCAGCCUGGAAGCUUACCUCCACCAGUUCCAAAGAAGCCGAAGAAGUGAACCUGCAGUGGCCUCAACUGCGAGUAGCAGUCAGUGGUACCCUUUUAGCUCAUCUGCUGCUGCAGGCUUGGAGCAGAUUUUGUUUGAGUCGCCGACAGCAAGAACAGCACCAGAUGCCAAAACCACAUGCCGAAGCCCCGAUGCCACUGAAAAUUGCAGGCAUUACAAUACGCCGUCUCGGUGGUCGUUGGAAAUCUAACGCGGAUCUACUUGCGGAUCUGAAUGAAAGCUGAUCAAGCCCCCCGGCGAUAAUAAAUAAAGCUUUGCACAACUGGUUGAUAGCGGCCGGCGCAAAAGGUGUCGUGCAUAUCUGUCAGUGCUCUCUUAACGGUUUCCAGUUGCUUGGGAAAGCGUCAUCUGCAGGCAGACAGUGUAUUGUGUGGCAUAGUAAUAAGCGUUGGUAUUAAAGAGGAUAAGCCCGCCGACGACGCCGGGUGUUGUGCU